rnacentral:rRNA from 1 species
GUUACCCAAAAAAUGAAUUUAAGUUCAAUUUUAAACUUGCUAAAAAAACAACAAAAUCAAAAAGUAAGUUUAAAUUAUAGCCAAAAGAGGGACAGCUCUUCUGGAACGGAAAAAACCUUUAAUAGUGAAUAAUUAACAAAACAACUUUUAACCAUUGUAGGCCUAAAAGCAGCCACCAAUAAAGAAAGCGUUCAAGCUCAACAUAAAAUUUCAAUUAAUUCCAUAAUUUACACCAACUUCCUAAACUUAAAAUUGGGUUAAUCUAUAACUUUAUAGAUGCAACACUGUUAGUAUGAGUAACAAGAAUUCCAAUUCUCCAGGCAUACGCGUAUAACAACUCGGAUAACCAUUGUUAGUUAAUCAGACUAUAGGCAACAAUCACACUAUAAAUAAUCCACCUAUAACUUCUCUGUUAACCCAACACCGGAAUGCCUAAAGGAAAGAUCCAAAAAGAUAAAAGGAACUCGGCAAACAAGAACCCCGCCUGUUUACCAAAAACAUCACCUCUAGCAUUACAAGUAUUAGAGGCACUGCCUGCCCAGUGACUAAAGUUUAACGGCCGCGGUAUCCUG